UUUUUGACAAAAUGAGGAUUCAAUGGCUCAAGGAGAAUAUCCUGCUUCUGGUACUUGCCUUCUACCUCACAAUGUUAACACAAAAGUUACUAUAUCUGAUGUCCCCAACCGUGUGAAGGUGUUUAAGGAAGGAGGUUCAGAGUCAUCAUCGUAGUAUGGAGACGCUGCCCAUGUUGUCAUCAUAGUAUGGAGCGGCUACAACUCUAAGUGGAGGUGGUGUAUAUGUCGGAGUGAUUUAUUCUUGACAAACGUGGAGUGCGGCUUGUUCGGAUAUGCCUUCUUGGCUCUCUGGGCAUCAUGAGCGGCACAUGUCUCACCCCCCUUGAUGGUGGCGACGAAUCGGCACGAACACGGGGGGAGGGGAUCAAGAUGAAGAGCGGGACAGUUGGCGGGGGAUUCCUCCUUGGCGGUUCAUGGGGAAGUAUGGUGUCAAGAAGAGAAGGCACCAUGGCGAGGGAAAGGUGGGCAUCAUACAGUUUUAAAGGAUAAGACUCUAGCGAGAAAUCUCCCGCUACGACGGGAAACCGAGCAGGAAAGGGAUGGUCCGACGGGAAACUAAGCAUCAUGGGGUGGGGUUCUUGUGUUGGGACCACGUGUUGGAGAUAACAUGACAGAUAAUUCAGACAACCACAUUUCUUCCCCAUAUAUGGGCUGGAUUUGUCGUAGCUUGAAACUAUUCCGGCGGUUUGAUUUUGCGGAGUUCACUAGGCGCAUGUCUGAUGUGCAAACACGCUUGGACAUAUGAGGGAGAAAUGAGUUUCGACCUUAGA